rnacentral:misc_RNA from 1 species
GAUGAAGAACGUAGCGAAAUGCGAUAAGUAAUGUGAAUUGCAGAAUUCAGUGAAUCAUCGAAUCUUUGAACGCACAUUGCGCCCCCUGGUAUUCCGGGGGGCAUGCCUGUUCGAGCGUCAUUUCACCACUCAAGCCUCGCUUGGUAUUGGGCAACGCGGUCCGCCGCGUGCCUCAAAUCGACCGGCUGGGUCUUCUGUCCCCUAAGCGUUGUGGAAACUAUUCGCUAAAGGGUGCUCGGGAGGCUACGCCGUAAAACAAACCCAUUUCUAAGGUUGACCUCGGAUCAGGUAGGGAUACCCGCUGAACUUAAGCAUAUCAAUAAGCGGAGGA